UUGGAGAGGUUGAUCCUGGCUCAGGAUGAGACGCUGGCGGCGUGCCUAAUACAUGCAAGUCGAGCGAACAGACGAGGAGCUUGCUCCUCUGACGUUAGCGGCGGACGGGUGAGUAACACGUGGAUAACCUACCUAUAAGACUGGGAUAACUUCGGGAAACCGGAGCUAAUACCGGAUAACAUGUUGAACCGCAUGGUUCAACAGUGAAAGACGGUCUUGCUGUCACUUAUAGAUGGAUCCGCGCCGCAUUAGCUAGUUGGUAAGGUAACGGCUUACCAAGGCAACGAUGCGUAGCCGACCUGAGAGGGUGAUCGGCCACACUGGAACUGAGACACGGUCCAGACUCCUACGGGAGGCAGCAGUAGGGAAUCUUCCGCAAUGGGCGAAAGCCUGACGGAGCAACGCCGCGUGAGUGAAGAAGGUCUUCGGAUCGUAAAACUCUGUUAUUAGGGAAGAACAAAUGUGUAAGUAACUAUGCACGUCUUGACGGUACCUAAUCAGAAAGCCACGGCUAACUACGUGCCAGCAGCCGGGGUAAU
rnacentral:rRNA from 1 species